CCUCUAAGCAUCAGGUAACACGAAAUCGUACCCCAAACCGACACAGGUGGUCAGGUAGAGAAUACCAAGGCGCUUGAGAGAACUCGGGUGAAGGAACUAGGCAAAAUGGUGCCGUAACUUCGGGAGAAGGCACGCUGACACGUAGGUGAAGUGAUUUACUCAUGGAGCUGAAGUCAGUCGAAGAUACCAGCUGGCUGCAACUGUUUAUUAAAAACACAGCACUGUGCAAACACGAAAGUGGACGUAUACGGUGUGACGCCUGCCCGGUGCCGGAAGGUUAAUUGAUGGGGUCAGCGUAAGCGAAGCUCCUGAUCGAA
rnacentral:rRNA from 1 species